rnacentral:lncRNA from 1 species
AAUGAACUACACCUUGAUAAAGAUUUACAGUGGGAGUUGUUAGCCUUAUUUUUCCCCAUACCAGAUAAAUUGGUACAUUCCAGGAACUGCACAAAAUUACCUCCCAGCAAAAUAUUAGUUUAUAACUUUCUUUUUCUGUGCAGAUUUAAGAAUUGGAUUCUGAUUGAAGUGAUAGCACUCCUAUAUGAUUGUCAACAUUUACUCUUUAUUCCAGAAAGAAAUGCAAAAAUGUUACACUUUCAGAUGUCUGCUCUUAACUGUAAUUCUUCACAGAAACUACUUGCUGCCAAGCUAAUGAAGAAUGGAACAUUCAGCAAAAUAGCAAAUCCAUACCAACAUCCAUUAACACUAGCGACAGGACCCGCGGGAACAGGGUUAAGCUGAAGCAGGGGAAGUUUAGGCUUGACAUCAGGAGGAGGUUCUUCACAGAGAGAGUGGUUGCACACUGGAACAGGCUCCCCAGGGAAGUGGUCACUGCACCGAGCCUGACUGAAUUUAAGAAGAGAUUGGACUGUGCGCUUAGUCACAUGGUCUGAACUUUUGGGUAGACCUGUGCGGUGUCAAGAGUUGGACUUGAUGAUCCUUAAGGGUCCCUUCCAACUCAGGAUAUUCUAUGAUUCUAUGAUUCUAUGAUCUCCCCAGAUAAUAUCACUUAUUACAGAGUUUAAUAUCACUUCAUAAGGAGUUAUAAUAUCUCAGUAUGGUCUCAGUACUAUGUGGAAUCCAUACCUAAUACAUAUGUACAAUAAGAAAUACAAGUGUGAGAUUCAUCUAAAUUUAACCAUCAAAAAGUUAAACACCAAGUUGAGUAGUUCCAUCUCCCCCUGUAGAGAAAACAGAGAAACAACACUGUUGAAAGCCAUGAGACCAAAGUUAAAUUCUAGAAAGUGAAUAUUUAGAUGUCCAAAAAUAC